UAUACCUCAUCAACCAGAAGGAAUCCCUUCUGGCUGAUGAGGUUGUUAUACCUCAUCAGCCAGUAGGGAUUCCUUCCGGUCAAUGAGAUGUA
rnacentral:miRNA from 1 species